AUACGGCAGGUCCGGGCGUUAUCCGGAUUUAUUGGGUUUAAAGGGAGCGCAGGCGGAGAUGCAAGCGUGAUGUCAAAUUUCGGGGCUCAACCCCGUCUCGCGUCGCGAACUGCGUCCCUUGGUUGCGGGAUGGGGAGGCGGAACUCGUGGUGUAGCGGGGAAAUGCAUAGUCAUCACGAAGAACUCCGAUCGCGAAGGCAGCCUUCCGGCCCGUCAACGACGCUCAUGCUCGAAGGUGCGGGUAGCAAACAGGAUUAGAUACCCUGGUAGUCCGCACAGUAAACGAUGGACACCCGCGGUUUGGCCUGUAUGGCUGAGCCGCCAAGCGAAAGCGUUAAGUGGCCCACCUGGGUAGUACGCCGGCAACGGUGAAACUCAAAGGAAUUGACGGGG
rnacentral:rRNA from 1 species